rnacentral:rRNA from 1 species
GGCGCCCGCCGGAGGAACCAACCAAACUCUUUCUGUAGUCCCCUCGCGGACGUAUUUCUUUACAGCUCUGAGCAAAAAUUCAAAAUGAAUCAAAACUUUCAACAACGGAUCUCUUGGUUCUGGCAUCGAUGAAGAACGCAGCGAAAUGCGAUAAGUAAUGUGAAUUGCAGAAUUCAGUGAAUCAUCGAAUCUUUGAACGCACAUUGCGCCCGCCAGUAUUCUGGCGGGCAUGCCUGUCCGAGCGUCAUUUCAACCCUCGAACCCCUCCGGGGGAUCGGCGUUGGGGAUCGGGACCCCUCACACGGGUGCCGGCCCCUAAAUACAGUGGCGGUCUCGCCGCAGCCUCUCCUGCGCAGUAGUUUGCACAACUCGCACCGGGAGCGCGGCGCGUCCACGUCCGUAAAACACCCAACUUUCUGAAAUGUUGACCUCGGAUCAGGUAGGAAUACCCGCUGAACUUAAGCAUAUCAAUAAGCGGAGGAA